rnacentral:SRP_RNA from 1 species
GCCUGUAGUCCCAGCUACUCAAGAGGCUGAGGUGGGAGGAUCACUUGAGCCCAGGAGUUCUGGGUUGCAGUGCGCUAUGCCGAUCGGGUGUCUGCACUAAGUUCGGCAUCAAUAUGGUGACCUCCCGGGAGCGGGGGACCACCAGGUUCCCUAAGGAAGGGUGAACUGGCCCAGGUCAGAAACGGAGAGGGUCAAAACUCCCAUGCUGAUCAGUAGUGGGAUCUCGCCUGUGAAUAGCCACUGCACUCCAGCCUGGGCAACAGAGCGAGACCCCGUCUCU